GUACCAUUGAAAUGGAAGAAAUCAGGUAUAAGAAGCAUGCUGUGAUAUUGAGUCAAUUGGUUGCCCAAUCACAGACAUCUUUCACUGACAGAGUAACAGCAAUGCUCAUUUUCAAAUCAUAUGAGAAGGCCUUGCUAACUGAUGGUCGAUGCUCACAGGUGUGUGGGCUUUGAGCAGUCGCUACACCUUCCCUCUUCAGGCAUGAUGAGAGGAUUCCUGCAGCGUUUUGCAAGAGAGAUGAAGUUUCAUCAUGUUGUCCAGGCUGAUAUCCAAC
rnacentral:lncRNA from 1 species